rnacentral:rRNA from 1 species
CAAUAGCGUAUAUUUAAGUUGUUGCAGUUAAAAAGCUCGUAGUCGGAUUUUGGCUGAGAACGAUCGGUCCGCCGUUAGGUGUGCACUGAUUGGUCUCAGCUUCCUGGUGAGGAGGUGUGCUUCACGGCCACUUAGUCACCGUGGUUACUUUGAAAAAAUUAGAGUGUUCAAAGCGGGCUUACGCUUGAAUAUAUUAGCAUGGAAUAACACCAUAGGACUCCUGUCCUAUUUCGUUGGUCACGGGACGGGAGUAAUGAUUAAGAGGAACAGUUGGGGGCAUUCGUAUUUCAUUGUCAGAGGUGAAAUUCUUGGAUUUAUGAAAGACGAACUUCUGCGAAAGCAUUUGCCGAGGAUGUUUUCAUUGA